UCCUCUCUCUCUCUCUCUCUAUUCUGCCAUCUUUCUUGUCCUUUUCUUGGAGAAAUAUUAGCCUCGGGUGGGGGAGAGAGGAUUUAAGCCACGAUAAGGGAGGAGGAGGAGAUCUGAAGCCAAGGUCAAGCGGGUGGGAGAGACGUCGGAAGGGCGGUCGCUGUCGCGGAGGGAAGGGGGAGGAGGAGCGGGUGGGAGGGGGUGGUUGUGCUUGCCGCUUCCUGGUUCGCCGGUCCUCGUCCUGGCGAGCAAUGGAAACGUUCCGGUAGGUACUUAAAUCCUUCAUUCCUACUCAAUCCUUUGUCCGAUUUGGUUUUUCUAAAUAUCCUUUUUAUCAUGAUUACACUGAUUGGGUACUCAUUUAAGGCUCGGACACCUCUCAACUUGGUACCCGAACCGGAAACGAUUGGUU
rnacentral:lncRNA from 1 species